CCACUCUCUUUCUCUCCUUAUGACAUCCGGCCAAGCCUUACUCUCUCUUGCUCUUGUACAUGAUUGCCAAGGAUAAAAAUAUUAAUUACCCUAAAAAGGCUAGUGGCUAAACUUAGGUGAUUUGGUAACCAACUUUUGACUAACUAAAAUGUUAGCUAAAUUAAAUGAAUCUUGUGCUCACUUGCCCUUUGAAUGGCCGGAUAUCUCUACCAUUUUGGCCAAUUUUAUUAGUUGUUUUAUUUGUUUAAUAACCAUCUAGAAGAUCCAUACAAAUUGGAUCAUCACUUGGGCCAAUUGUUUUAUUGUUUGGGCUCUCAAAUUAAAUUGCUUGGGCUAUGAAAAAAAAAAGCAUGAUCCAAUAGAUAAAUUUUAUUAUAUCCUAAUCAUUUAAUUAGGAUUUUCAUUCCACUCAUUUUGAAAUUUAAAUAAUUAUUUGUGUACAUUCAAUUUUAUAACCUAACUAAACUUACUUUAAUUAGGUUUAAAUUGAAUAAUAAAUUGAGAUACUCAAAUCAAUCUCUUAGGUGAGUAUAAUAUUAAAUACUAUUAUUCUACAAUACCA
rnacentral:lncRNA from 1 species